GAAAUGUUAGCUCAGUCAGUUGAGUGUGGCGCUCACAACGCCAAGGUCACAGGUUCGAUUCCUGUUCGGUUCC
rnacentral:tRNA from 1 species